AAUGAAGUGCCUGAAUUAAAAGGGUUACUUUGAUAGAGUAAAUCAUGCAAUUAACCUGCCUUCAUUA
rnacentral:tRNA from 1 species